rnacentral:rRNA from 1 species
CGAGGCUGUGAAGCGGAGCAAAUCUCAAAAACCGGUCCCAGUUCGGAUUGUAGGCUGCAACUCGCCUACAUGAAGUCGGAGUUGCUAGUAAUCGCGGAUCAGAAUGCCGCGGUGAAUGCGUUCCCGGGUCUUGUACACACCGCCCGUCACACCAUGGAAGUUGGGGGCGCCCGAAGUUGCCUAAGAAAUAAGGUACCUAAGGCGAAACCAAUGACUGGGGUGAAGUCGUAACAAGGUAAC